GUAGUGCAGGCCAUUCGAGAGCAGCAGUAGCUGUGGACACAACAUUUAUAUAUCUUUUUCAGUUAAUAUGGCAAACAUUGGCUUAGUUAUACAUCCAGUAGGAUGUGGCAACAUAAUAAUAAUAAUAAUAAUAAUAAUAAUAAUACUAAUAAUAAUAAUAAUAAUAAUAAUAAUAAUAAUAAUAGAACUGUGUACCCAGUCAGCUAACAGGUGCUGCAAUGUAAUCGAAUGGGCAACUGAACUAUCGCGAAGCCCUACCCCUUUGUUAUCAGCAGCUACUAGUCCCUCAAGAUGUUGAGCUGGCGCUCACUAACUGCACCUCCUUUAGAUAGAUAUUCAGGAUGUCGUACUGGGAGUGUCGUCUACGUGACACGCAGGUAUACCUUUUAUAACCGCUUAAAAAACUCCUUCAUUUCCGUAUACCUGCUGAAAGUGCCCAAGGAUACAUGUAUCAAUAGGUUUUAUAGGAUUUUCACAUUGACAGUCUGAACCUGGGAAACCAAACGAAUAGCUCAUGAUGGGUUGGGAGAAGGCAAACAGCAAACGUCACUGAAUCAGAGAAAAAAAAUAAUAAAAAUUGUCCAAUCAGAAAGCGCACAUCCUCUCUCACCACCAAUCACAGUGAGCACCAGCCAACUAAGUUUAUUCUGAAGUUAACAAGUUCACAUGAGCGGCUGUGUGAUUCUGAGCCGUCACGUUACAUCUGCUCCUUGAGCCUCGCAUCCACAGCUGACCUGAGCACUGCCACCUCCUGCUGCAGUCUAAUCAUCUGCCGCUCCCCAGAGCUCACGUCAACGCUCAGCUUGGCAAUGCUGGCAUCACACCUGAGAUAAUAGAUACAGAUGAAAUGACUAUGAGCUGAUGAUGAGGAGGAGGAGUCAGUCAGGCUUUACUCAGGCGCUGCACCAUUCUAUCAGGUGUAAUCAAAUCAUCUGUGACUUUGUGGGCAUGAGUGUGUAUGUGUCAGUGUGCGUGUGCUGUACAUCAAAGGAGACGAGGAGAGCAGAUAAAAGAAUGCACUGGAAAAGAAAACCGAAGCAGCUUGUGGGAAAGCGCCUGGACCUGGACGGAGCCCUUGGUGGACUGUAGGCCUGCUGCCACCUCCUCUUUGAUCCUGAAAGCCUGCUCCAGCAGCACAGCCAGCGUCCUCUCCUGACUGCUCCAACGACCGUCCAAGACAUCAGGCCUUAAUCAGGAAGUAAACAGAAAACCAAGCUCUGAGUUUGAGAGGCUCUUUAUUAUUGAUUUCAGUAACUGAGGGAUACGCGUUGCAAAUCAUGCAAAGUCAAGUUAACAUUCUCCAGCACUGGAGCACUGGAAUACAUCAGAAGGGAA